rnacentral:rRNA from 1 species
AGCGAACGCUGGCGGCAGGCUUAACACAUGCAAGUCGAGCGGGCAUCCUUGUGGUGUCAGCGGCAGACGGGUGAGUAACGCGUGGGAACGUGCCCUUCGGUUCGGAAUAACUCAGGGAAACUUGAGCUAAUACCGGAUACGUGCGAGAGCAGAAAGGUUUAUCUGCCGAAGGAUCGGCCCGCGUCUGAUUAGCUAGUUGGUGAGGUUAUGGCUCACCAAGGCGACGAUCAGUAGCUGGUCUGAGAGGAUGAUCAGCCACGCUGGGACUGAGACACGGCCCAGACUCCUACGGGAGGGAGCAGUGGGGAAUAUUGGACAAUGGGGGCAACCCUGAUCCAGCCAUGCCGCGUGAGUGAUGACGGCCUUAGGGUUGUAAAGCUCUUUUCGCCGGGACGAUAAUGACGGUACCGGAUGAAUAAGCCCCGGCUAACUUCGUG